UACGUAGGGUGCAGGCGUUAAUCGGAAUUACUGGGCGUAAAGCGUGCGCAGGCGGUUUGCUAAGACAGGUGUGAAAUCCCCGGGCUUAACCUGGGAACUGCGCUUGUAACUAGCAGGCUAGAGUGUGGCAGAGGGGGGUGGAAUUCCAGGUGUAGCAGUGAAAUGCGUAGAUAUCUGGAGGAGCACCGAUGGCGAAGGCAGCCCCCUGGGCUAACACUGACGCUCAUGCACGAAAGCGUGGGGAGCAAACAGG
rnacentral:rRNA from 1 species